CCCAAUCGAGUUGACAUGGAUGCCUUACAUGACCCACGAGUUACCCCACAUUUUCCAUUACUUACUAACCAAGUGGACACAACUGCUUAUAAUUGAAACUCCCUUUUUUCCAAAACAAACAUAACAUAAAUGACAUCAGCGUGAUUUACAUUUUACAAUGCCCAAAAUACAAAGUAUUUAUUACAUGGUUCAUGAACCACAUUUCAUGUCUACGGAGCCUCUAAGGAUAAAGAUGACAAUACUAUGCUUGCCGGUAACAAGGCUUCGGCUAUACCUUUUUUCAUACACAAAAAUAAGAUCCCAAAUUACAAGAACAAGGGUGGCAUGAGCCACGCAGGGCCCUGGAAGGAAAGGGGCUCACCAAUACAGCUGAGGGGGAAUAAGGAAGAGCUACGGACGGUGGACUGGAGUACCUGCUGUGGAUCCACCUACAAUCAUAACACGAAUGUAGCACCCCCCGCAAAAGGGACGUCAGCACUUGUACUGCUAUGUAUGACCAGAACUUGUCUCAAGUAAACUCAAGCCAAACACAAGUAGAACACAUCAAUGGAAGCAACAACCAAAUACACAUAGAAGGUACAAUUAGUCAAACAAAGGGGAAACCAGUGCCCCACAUGUUACAAACUCUCCUGCCGUCUCCUUUCACAAUUCCACAUCAAUGAUUUCACAAUUUGAUCAAAUGUUUAUUUCAAUAGUGAUUUCAAUCACUUUUCCACCUUUAUUACCACGACCACUCUUAUCACACCAACCCACACCUUAUUACACAGUGUUGAGGCGCGCAACCCUACCCCGUCGUACUAUUUCAAUUCACAACAAACACAACCAAACAUCAAGUCACGAAGAUAAACAACAAAUACAUCUCAAGACAUCACCACAACAGUGUUACAAGUGUUUCCAUAAUUAUUAGUACCAAUUUCAUUACUUUGAACAGUUCGUACUCAAUUCAAGUUACCACAAUUGCCCCAACAUUUCAAGUAUAUUGUUAUCACAGAUAGCCUUGUUUCGCCAUUUACGGAUUCCUUCAAUCACUCGCUAUUCAACUUUUUACCACGAGGUGCAUUCACAAUCAAACUAGUCACAAGAAGUUCACAAAUAACCAACAUAGAUAUCACUACCAAACAAUUCACAUACCCAACAAGGCGAUUUCACAAGGAUCAAGGUUAGCCGUACAUACCUGGAGUCAAAUUCCCUUAUUAAGUUUCUAUUCUCAGUCACAAAGCUAUCUAGCCACGUCAAUCUAAUUCACAAAUUAACACAUGCACCUUAGAAUUGAAGUUCACAAUUACUACCUAGUUUAUUUUAGGCUAUCAAACAUCGUUCUCUAUUUCUACCCAAUUUCCCUUUACUAGAUUUUAGGUGUUGAGUGACAUGCAUGAGGGUUUUCAAUUAUAAGUUCAAAAUCAAGCAUAAGACUCCCUCCCUUAGCUUAAAUCUAAAAAAUUGGGGAAAAAUGUUAGGAAUUUUACCUGUAAGAGUGGAGAUGAAGAUAAUAACUUAAAAUUUUUCCGGCCCGGAUAGUUUUGGAGGAUCAACUUGAUGAAGAAUCCUUUCUCUCUGAAGAACUCUCCCUUCCCUCUCUCUCUCUCUUGUCUUUUUCAGAAAUUAUAUAUAAAUGAGGGGUUGGGUUGUUUUAUUAGAAAAGGGUUCGGGUUUAAAAAUUUUAGAAAACUGAUGUUUGUGCAGGACCUGCGGUCAACUAUGCGAUCGCAUAGUUGACAUGCGGUCCGCAUAUUGGACCGCAGAGUGGUCCCAAAUUGCUGGCCUCUCUGCUUGGGUAUGCGGUGAGAAUGAUGUCCGCAUACCUGUUCCGCGGACGCAUAUUGCACCGCAGAAUUGACCUCCACAAAUCCUUGAGAAAUUUAUGCGACGACUAUGCGGUCCGCAUAUUGGUUAUUCGAUUGCAUAAUGGACCACAUUUUCAACAUCCAAUUUGGCUACUCUUUGACUAAAUUUAGACGAUUAUGCAGUCCGCAUUAGUUAUGCGAUCGUAUAAUGGACCACAUUUUCAAGAUCCAAUUUGGCUACUCUCUGAUUAACUCUGCAGUCAAGAUGCGGUCCGCAUACAUGAUCUGUGACCGCAUUCUUGACCGCAGAAAUGACAUCUUUCCAGAAAAUUUGACUCUAAGUUUUUAAGUAUAAAAUCAGUAGAAAAAUGUCCCUACACAUAGGUGGACCUAACUUUAUGAGUUGAUGGGACUUGAGCACUCAAAUUUUACGGGGUCUUACAUCCUCCCCUGCUUAAGAUCAUUCGUUCUCGAAUAAGAAUUCGAAAAUAAAAUGGGUUGAAAGCAUGGUAUGCAAGCUCCUAAGUUUUCACUAACUCUUAUAAUGUAGAAAAACUUCGCCAGAGUUUCCUAUGUAAUAUGGACAUAUCAACCUGUCAGUGAUUCCCAACACAUAUUUCCAAACACCAUUAAACAAAUCUUGCUACCCUUAUAACAGGUAUACAAUGCACGACCUUCACACUUAUACAUAUUCAACCUCUCAACACACUUUUACCCAUUUUGGUACACCACAUGCAAUUAAAUUAAAUCGUCGGUACUAUCGAAGUCAUUUACUUAGCACAAUCACAAGAGUACAAUACCUCUAUUAAACAUGAACGGCUUUAUUCGCGCUUUGCUAAACUUGACUGCCGGACGAGAGUCAUGAGACUUGAGUUUCCCAACGAGCCAGUUGUUGAGUGGAGAGGGAAUGGUAUUGUGCCAAAAGGUAGGUUUAUUUCUUACCUUAAAGCCUCAAAGAUGAUUAAGAAGGGGUGUAUCUAUCAUUUUGUCCGGGGGGCGGACACCUCUUCAGGUCUGCCUGCCCUCGGAUCCGUGCCAGUUGUAAAUGAAUUUCCGGAGAUAUUUCCAGAUGAGCUUCCAGGGAUUUCGCCAGAUAGGGAGAUUGACUUCGGGAUUGAUGUGUUGCCAGAUACUCAGCCAAUAUCUAUUCCACCAUACAGGAUGGCGCCAACAGAAUUACGAGAGUUAAAGGAGUAGCUGAAGGAUUUAUUAGAGAAGGGGUUCAUUCGACCGAGUGUGUUUCCGUGGGGUUCUCCGGUUCUUUUGUCAGGAAGAAGGAUGGGUCACUUCGGAUAUGUAUCGACUAUCGGUAGCUUAACAAGGUCACCAUCGAGAAUAAAUACCCUUUGCCCCAGAUAUAUGAUUUGUUCGACCAAUUGCAAGGGGCAAAGUUCUUCUCCAAAAUUGAUUUGCAAUCCGAGUAUCACCAAUUGAAGAUCAGAGAGCGGGAUAUUCUUAAGACCGCCUUCAGAACCCACUAUGGUCACUUCGAAUUCUUGGUCAUGUCUUUUAGGCUAACCAACGUCCCGAGAGUUUUCAUGGAUCUUAUGAAUCAGGUCUUCAAUCCAUUUCUAGACUCCUUUAUGGUUGUUUUUAUUGACGACAUCCUCGUUUAUUUGCGAAGCAGGGAGGAUCAUGCCGAUCAACUCAUCGCAGUUUUGUAAACUCUUCAUCAGCACCAGUUGUAUGCUAAAUUCUCAAAAUGUGAAUUUUUGUUGGAGUCUAUCGCUUUUCUAGGACAUGUUGUUUGCGAAAAGGGGAUUCAACUGGACCCCCAAAAGAUUUCAGCAGUGAAGGAUUGGCCUAGACCCAUGACCCCGACGGAGAUCCGUAGCUUUUUGGGGUUAGCAGGUUAUUAUCGGAGGUUUGUGGAGGGGUUCUCUACCAUCGCCUCCCCUUUAACUAAGUCAACGCAGAAAUUAGCCAAGUUCCAAUGGUCUGAUGCUUGUGAGAAAGGUUUUCAGGAAUUAAAGUCAAGGUUGACCUCGACAGCAGUGUUGGCAUUGCCGGAAGGCACGUAAGGAUUUGUGGUAUAUUGCGAUGCCUCCAAGGGUGGUUUGGCGUGUGUGCUCAUGCGCCAGGGGAAGGCUACAACGUAUGCUUCAAGGAAACUCAAGAAUCACGAGAAGAAUUACGCAACACAUGAUUUGGAGCUUGCAGCAGUUGUGUUUGCCUUAAAAAUAUGGUGGCAUUACCUUCAUGGGGUUCAUGUGGAUGUGUUCUCGGACCACAAAAGUCUCCAAUAUUUGAUUAAGCAGAAGGAGUUAAACGUGAGGCAGCGGCGGUGGUUAGAACUGCUCAAAGAUAAUGAUAUGAACAUCUUGUGCUAUCUAGGGAAGGUGAACGUGGUAACCGACGCCCUCAGUCGGAAAUCCAUGGGUAGUUGGCUCACUUGGGAGCGGAUCAGAGGUUCCUAACUCAAGAGGUUUAUCAGUUGGCCAGUCUUGGGGUUUGUAUAUCGACCCCAAAUGAGGAGAUUAUGGUGCACAACGUAGCAGAAUCAUCGCUCGUAGCGGAAUUCAAGAAAAAGCAGUUCAUUGAUCCAACAUUGGCACAAAUAAAUGAGGCGGUUCAGAGUAUCAAGAUUUCGGUAUUUUCACUCAGCAACAAUGAUGGUGUGUUGCGAUGUCAAGGUAGGCUGUGUGUUCUAGAUUUAGAUAAUCUUUGGGAGAGAGUAAUGGCAGAGGCUUAUCAUUCCAGGUAUUUGGUGCACCCAGGUUCUACAAAAAUGUAUCACGAUCUCAAGGAAAUUUAUUGGUGGAACGGUAUGAAGAGGGAUGUGGCAGACUUCGUAUCUAAAUGCUCGAACUGUCAGCAAGUAAAGGCCGAGCAUCAGCAGCUCGAUGGGCUAACCCAGCUUAUGGAGAUACCAAUGUGGAAAUGAGAGAUGAUCAACAUGGAUUUCGUGGCAUGACUACCUCGCACUCAGCGUAAGUUCGACUCAAUUUGGGUGAUAGUGGAUCGACUCACCAAAUCAGCUCACUUCUUGCCAUUCAAGUCCACCGAUACUGCAGAACAAUAUGCUUGAUUGUAUGAAUCUUAUUUCUGUAUAUGUGAAAGGUAUAGCUAGAGCCUUGUUACCGGCAAGUAUUGUACUAUCAUCUUUUAUCCUUAGAUGCUUCGUAGACAUGAAAUGUGGGUCAUGAACUGUGUAGUAAGUACUUUGUAUUUUUGGGCAUUCACAGCUAACUUUUGGAAGAAAUUUCAGCAAGGGUUGGGUACUUAGGUGAACCUCAGCACAGACUUUCAUCCGCAUACUGAUGGUCAAGCAGAGCGGACUAUUCAGACUCUCGAAGAUAUAACGCGCGCUUGUGUCUUGGAUUUCAAGGGUAAUUGGGAUGAUCGUUUGCCCCUUAUAGAAUUUUCCUACAACAACAGCUUCCAUGCUAGAAGCAAGAUGGCCCCAUUUGAGGCAUUGUACGGGAGGAGGUGUAGGUCCCCAAUCGGGUGGUUUAAAGUAGGUGAGGCAAAAUUGAUAGGGACGGAUCUCGUGCACCAGGCCAUGGAAAAAGUUAAUGUCAUUCAAGAAAGGAUGAAGACUGCUCGGAGUCGCUAGAAAUUCUAUGCGGACGUGCGUCAAAGAGAAUUGAAGUUUGAAGAGGGUGAUUGGGUAUUCUUGCGGGUAUCCCCCAUAAAGGGAGUCAUGCAAUUUGGAAAGAAAGGGAAGCUAAGUCCUAGAUAUGUCGAGCCUUAUCAGAUUAUUCAAAGGAUCGGACAAGUUUCUUAUAGGUUGGAGUUGCCCCCUGAAAUGUCCUUAGUGCACCCGGUGUUCCACGUUUCCAUGUUAAGGAAAGUGGUUGGGGAUCCGUCCACCAUCGUGCCAGUUGAAGACAUCAAGGUUAUUGAAGAGCUAUCAUAUGAAGAGAUCCCAGUUGCUAUGUUCCAUGUGUCCAUGUUAUGGAAAAUGGUUGGGGAUCCGUCCACCGUCGUGCCAGUUGAAGACAUUAAUGUUACUGAAGAGCUAUCAUAUGAGGAGGUUCCGAUUGCUAUUCUUGAUAGAAAAGUAUGUAGGUUGUGAAAUAAGGAGAUCAUUUCGGUUAAGGUGUUUGGCAAAACCAACAAGUCAAAGAGGCCACGUGGGAAGCGUAAGAUGAGAUGAAAGUAAAAUACCCCCAUUUGUUCAAGCAAGUCUAGGAGUGGUCAUGUAUGUCCUUGUCCCUAAGCAAACUAGCAUUGUGUCCCCUUUGGUAUAAAAGUCUAAAUACUUCACUAUUAUAAUUAAUCAAGUUGUGCCAAAAAUUUUGUGUGUUUUCGUGGUAGAUAAUUGGCCCAUGGUAGAGCGAGUGUAAAGAAAUAAUGAUUAGUUUUGCAUGGAGGGAUUGUAUUGAAUGGUUAACUGUGUUGCACUCCCUAAAAUAAUCAACUAUGUGCAAAAGGAUAUCAAGCAAUUGAAUGUGUGCAGGUAUGAAGGUAAUGAAUUGAACUAUAGGUAACCGUUCAUGUUAAAUGGAGGUAUUGUACAAGUGCUAAGUAAAUGACUUCGAUAGUACCGACGAUUAAUGCUUAAUUUAAUUGCAUGUGGUGUACCAAAAGGGGUAAAAGUGUGUUGAGAGGUUGAAUAUGUAUAAGUGUGAAGGUCAUGCAUUGCAUACCUGUUAUAGGGGUAGCAAGAUUUGUUUAAUGGUGCUUGGAAAUAUGUGUUGGGAAUCACUGACAGGUUGAUAUGUCCAUAUUACAUAGGAAACUCUGGCAAAGUUUUUCUACAUUAUAAGAGUUAGUGAAAACUUAGGAGCUUGCAUACCAUGCCUUCAACCCAUUUUAUUUUCGAAUUCUUAUUCGAAGACGAAUGAUCUUAAGCAGGGGAGGAUGUAAGACCCCGUAAAAUUUGAGUGCUCAAGUCCCAUCAACUCAUAGAGUUAGGUCCACCUAUGUGUAGGGACAUUUUUCUACUGAUUUUAUACUUAAAAACUUAGAGUCAAAUUUUCUGGAAAGAUGUCAUUUCUGCGGUCAAGAAUGCGGUCACAGAUCAUGUAUGCAGACCGCAUCUUGACUGCAGAGUUAAUCAGAGAGUAGCCAAAUUGGAUCUUGAAAAUGUGGUCCAUUAUACGAUCGCAUAACUAAUAUGCGGACUGCAUAAAGACUGCAUCUUGACUGCAGAGUUAAUCAGAGAGUAGCCAAAUUGGAUCUUGAAAAUGUGGUCCAUUAUACGAUCGCAUAACUAAUAUGCGGACUGCAUAAUCGUCGCAUAAAAGGAUCCGUGGAGGUAAAUUCUAUGGUGCAAUAUGCGACCGCAUAAUAGGUAUGCAGACCACAUUCUCACCGCAUACCCAAGCAGAGAGGCCAGCAAUUUGGGACCACUCUGCGGUCCAAUAUGCGGACCGCAUGUCAACUAUGCGAUCGCAUAGUUGACCGCAGAUCCUGCACAAACAUCAGUUUUCUAAAAUUUUUAAACCCGAACCCUUUUCUAAUAAAACAACCCAACCCCUCAUAUAUAUAUAAUUUCUGAAAAAAAACAAGAGAGAGAGAGAGAGAGAGGGAAGGGAGAGUUCUUCAGAGAGAAAGGAUUCUUCAUCAAGUUGAUCCUCCAAAACUAUCCGGGCCGGAAAAAUUUUAAGUUAUUAUCUUCAUCUCCACUCUUACAGGUAAAAUUCCUAACAUUUUUCCCCAAUUUUUUAGAUUUAAGCUAAGGGAGGGAGUCUUAUGCUUGAUUUUGAACUUAUAAUUGAAAACCCUCAUGCAUGUCACUCAACACCUAAAAUCUAGUAAAGGGAAAUUGGGUAGAAAUAGAGAACGAUGUUUGAUAGCCUAAAAUAAACUAGGUAGUAAUUGUGAACUUCAAUUCUAAGGUGCAUGUGUUAAUUUGUGAAUUAGAUUGACGUGGCUAGAUAGCUUUGUGACUGAGAAUAGAAACUUAAUAAAGAAGAGGGUGAUUGGGUAUUCUUGCGGGUAUCCCCCAUAAAGGGAGUCAUGCAAUUUGGAAAGAAAGGGAAGCUAAGUCCUAGAUAUGUCGAGCCUUAUCAGAUUAUUCAAAGGAUCGGACAAGUUUCUUAUAGGUUGGAGUUGCCCCCUGAAAUGUCCUUAGUGCACCCGAUGUUCCAUGUGUGAACUGUUCAAAGUAAUGAAAUUGGUACUAAUAAUUAUGGAAACACUUGUAACACUGUUGUGGUGAUGUCUUGAGAUGUAUUUGCUGUUUAUCUUCGUGACUUGAUGUUUGGUUGUGUUUGUUGUGAAUUGAAAUAGUACGACGGGGUAGGGUUGCGCGCCUCAACAUUGUGUAAUAAGGUGUGGGUUGGUGUGAUAAGAGUGGUCGUGGUAAUAAGGGUGGAAAAGUGAUUGAAAUCACUAUUGAAAUAAACAUUUGAUCAAAUUGUGAAAUCAUUGAUGUGGAAUUGUGAAAGGAGACGGCAGCAGAGUUUGUAACAUGUAGGGCACUGGUUUCCCCUUUGUUUGACUAAUUGUACCUUCUAUGUGAAUUUGGUUGUUACUUCCAUUGAUGUGUUCUACUUGUGUUUGGCUUGAGUUUACUUGAGACAAGUUCUGUUCAUACAUAGCAGUACAAUACCUCCAUUUAACAUGAACGGUUACCUGAACGAAUCCCCUACCCAUGCCCUGUCUGGGUGCACGACAGUUGCUAUGGACAUGACCUCUCACCCCGCAAUUAUAACACACUGGGAUGUCCAAGUAGCAAGUCUCCAUAUGGAACCUCCCACACUUGGGACAUGUAGCUCCCCUCUGCUACUGGGGCCUCACCCCUGAAUGACUGGACUGGUGGAACCUCCUGCUGUCAGAACCUGGUCUCGAGGAACUACCCUACUGAUGACUGUACACAAAUGGCGGCGUGCUUACUGAGGAUUGAACAUAUGACCGGGAUGGCCCUGCUGGCCCUCUCCCCAGAGCUGACCUCCCUGAGUGACCCAGUGACCGGUCCUUGUUGUUACUCUCCCUAUAUGCCCGUAUAUUCAACUUCCUAGCCUCUGUGGCCUAAGUAAAACCAAAAAUCUUCCCGUAAUUCAUAUCUUAGUACAAGGUUGCUGUAGCAGCCUCAUUCACCACCAAUAGACUAAGACCCUGAAUAAAUUGCCGAACUCGAGUUGUCAUGGUUGACACUAACUGCGGAGCAUACUUGGACAAUCUCACGAACUCAAUAUGGUACCCCAAAACACUCAUGUUGCCCUUCUUAAUAACCUCGAACUCUGUGGCACGGGCUGCCAUUGUCUCGGUAGGGAAGAAAUGGUCCAUAAAAGCAUCCACAAAUUCCUCCAAUCUAGCCGGAGGGUUCCACUCCUUGCAGGAAACCUCCCAGAUCUCGAACCACGAGCGUGCCGCUUCCUUCAACUUGUAGGAAGCCAACUCAACCCCCUGUGAUUCUGUGGCCUUCAUCACACGAAAGGUAUUGUAUAUCUCAUCAAGAAAAUCCUACAGAUCGAUCUCUGGGUCUGUGCCUGAAAACUUUGGAGGGGCUAAUUACAUAAACUGGUGGACUUUGAAGCUGACAGAAUCUCCCUAUUCUCUGGGAACAUAGGGGCAUCGUAAGAUAUCUGAGCCUGAGAAUCCACUAACUGGGUCAACAUACGGAUGACUCCCCUAAGGUCCCCAUUAGAAGCCUCGGGACCGGGAGCUGAAGCAAUGCCGGGAGUAGGAAUGUCGGCAGGAGGGAUGGUGAUGCCCUCUGCCGCUGCUGGGACAGGAAUGCAUGGAUCCAGAAGGGACGAGCCGGGCAAAUUCAAAGUCGGGGAGUCACUCCCGCCCAUGGCGUUAGGUAUAUGGCCCACGAUCACACUUAGGGUGGCGCUAGCCUCAAGGCCGAGUCUAACCUUCUCCUUAGGUGCCAUCUCUGAAAAUUUAGGAACAAGGCACGAGUUAGACACAAAUACUUCAACUUUUCACUUCACUGCACGAAAUGGAAUAAAAAAGAAGAGAGUAAUUUCCUAAAUACUCGUGUAGCCCUUACUUAUAGAUGUGGUCGACAACAUACUGAUAAGAAGACUCUACUAGGCACGGCUUCGGGACACCCUAGGACUCUUUUUAAAAUCUUUGGCUAUGAUACCAAGUUUGUCAUUCCCCAAAUCUGAGGGAUAUGACCGGCACUCAAACGGAUAUCUCCAGUCGAGUGGACCUGGAUGCCUUACCUGACCCAUGAGUUACCCCACAUUUCCCAUUACUUACUAGCCAAGUGGAAACAGCUGUUUAUAAUUGAAACUCCUUUUUUUCCAAAACAGACAUAACAUAGAUAACAUUAGCGUGGUUUAAAAUUUACAAUGCCCAAAAUACAAAGUACUCACUACAUGGUUCAUGACUCACAUUUCAUGUAUUUGGAGCCUCUAAGGAUAAAGAUGACAGUACUAUACUUUCCGGAGCAAGGCUCCGGCUAUACCAUUUUACAUAUACCAAAAUAAGAUCCCAAAUUACAAGAAAAAGGGUGGCAUAAACCACGCAGGGCCCCAGAAGGAAAGGGGAUCACAGAUACAGCUGACGGGGAAUGAGGAAGAGCUAUAGAUGGUGGAAUGGAGUACAUGCUGUGGAUCCACUUACAAUCAUAACACGAAUGUAGCACCCUCGGCAAAAGGGACGUCAGCACAUUUGAAUUAGACUGGUAUGUAUGAACAAAACUUGUCCCAAGUGAACUCAAGCAAAACACAAGUAGAACACAGCAAUGGAAGUAACAACCAAACACACAUAGAAGGUACAAUUAGUCAAACAAAGGGGCAAUCAGUGCCCCACAUGUUNNNNNNNNNNNNNNNNNNNNNNNNNNNNNNNNNNNNNNNNNNNNNNNNNNNNNNNNNNNNNNNNNNNNNNNNNNNNNNNNNNNNNNNNNNNNNNNNNNNNNNNNNNNNNNNNNNNNNNNNNNNNNNNNNNNNNNNNNNNNNNNNNNNNNNNNNNNNNNNNNNNNNNNNNNNNNNNNNNNNNNNNNNNNNNNNNNNNNNNNNNNNNNNNNNNNNNNNNNNNNNNNNNNNNNNNNNNNNNNNNNNNNNNNNNNNNNNNNNNNNNNNNNNNNNNNNNNNNNNNNNNNNNNNNNNNNNNNNNNNNNNNNNNNNNNNNNNNNNNNNNNNNNNNNNNNNNNNNNNNNNNNNNNNNNNNNNNNNNNNNNNNNNNNNNNNNNNNNNNNNNNNNNNNNNNNNNNNNNNNNNNNNNNNNNNNNNNNNNNNNNNNNNNNNNNNNNNNNNNNNNNNNNNNNNNNNNNNNNNNNNNNNNNNNNNNNNNNNNNNNNNNNNNNNNNNNNNNNNNNNNNNNNNNNNNNNNNNNNNNNNNNNNNNNNNNNNNNNNNNNNNNNNNNNUCCACCCUUAUUACCUCGGGCACCCUUAUCACACCAACCUACACCUCAUAGGACAUUUUGAUGCAAAUAAGAUAGCUUCCUAUAAAUGCAUACAACAGUUGAGUAUGGUCAUGAAAAGAUGAUAAUGAUAGCCUAGAUACCACCCAUAGAGUUAGUAGAUACAGAUGUAGAGAUGGAAAGUAUCUAAUAACUUAAAUACUUUAAUCUUAGCUUAGUGAUAUAGACUAGUUAAACUUUCAUAUGUAUACCAGUUAAGAUUAUCAAAUAAUGAAUUCGAUCAUAAAGCAAAUAGGAUGCAAGGAAUAAUAUGUAGAAGUGAAUAUCACAACAGUAUCAUUAGUGAAGGGGAAAUAUGAACAUGAUUGGUUUACCAAUGAUAAUAAUUAAACAAAGAAAAUAGUGGUAACUCAGAAACAGUUAAACAAACACAUACAUACAGGAAAACAUUUAGAUAUUUUAAGUUCAAACUUCAGGUUAAGAAGCCGUGGAAUAUAAGUCAUCUAUGUUAGUUUAGGUCUCAUUUCAUAACUAUGAGCUAGUAAGGGAAUCUCCAACCAUACUCUAUUUCUUGCACCAAAAUUUAAAUUUUGUCAAAGAAAUAGAGUAUUUUUACUCCAAUAGUACUUCAUUUCUUGCUCUAAUAUAGAGCAUGAAUAGUCUUCUAGCAAUAUGGUGCAACACUAUUAAUUACUGUAUAUUUAGUUUAAUAAUAUUUUAUUCAUUUGGUGUAAAGUAAAUAGAAGAUAAGUGAGAGCAAUAGAGUGGUUGGAGUAGAAGAUAAUAAUAUAAUAUAAAAGAGAGAGAGAGAGAGAAAAUUUGGUGUAAACAAAUAGUGUAAUGGUUGGAGUAGAUUUGGUGUUGCACCAUUUUAGUGUGAAAAAUGGUGCAAACUAUAUCAUAGAUACGAAAGUUUCCCUACAAAAUGGAUUGGCUUCAAUAACCCAUAAGGGACGGCUUGCCAAGCUACACAAACAGUUAAUUUGUUUAUAGUCACAAAAGUUUUCCUACAAAGGGGCUGGCUUCAACUAUUCAUAAGGGACGGCUUGCCAAGCUACACAACUCAGAAAACUUUUGUAGUAUAACCUACGUUAGCUCUUCAUGACUCAGAAAACUUUCGCACUACAAUAAUCUAACUUUAACAUAAUAUUGUUACUCUAUUUUCAUACAUGGACCGGCCUUUUCAUCCAUUUGAAAGAAAGAACAAGAAGGAAAUUUAGAAAUCACUCAUAUGUAAUAUAUCACAAAAGAUUUACAAAGAUUACAAGAUGAUCCUACCAUUACUACAAAGCCUCCUUUAGAUAGGGCUAGGAGGUUAUUACAAGACAAACUUUCAAAAUAAAAUAAACCUAUCUUAAUGGCAAACUUAUCUGCAUGUGGGUCCUUCUUGGCAUGUGAAGGACUUUAGGCAAAUCAACUAGAAACACCUGAAAACAUGUGAAAGAGGUGAAAUAUACAUGGUGUAGCAUGUGGAAGUAUGAUUUAGCAUGUUGCAUGGGACGAAGCAUGUGGAGGCAUGUGGGAAGAUGUGAAAAUUUGUCUUCGCAUGGGUAGGAUAUUUUUGAAGGUUUUUUGUAGGAAAUGUAGGAUUAUGGUGGGAUUAUCAGGUAUUUAGAUAAUUAAUUCUAGGGUUGUCUUCUAGGCAUCUUUUCAAAGACCUUGUGUACUAAUGCCUUGAACUGGAUGGUCCUUCUCCGCUCUGGUCUUUCUCCUUAGAUUGAUAGAUGUAAUCCGCAACUUUAAUCUGGAAAUAUCAUGAGUGAUCUUUUCUUGGAUGACUUCGUAUGGAUUUUGAUAUUCUUUUGCUGCUUCUCGGACUCUUUCCCAGUGAGGAUGAGUGUUGGUGUAAUUCCAGCUUUCCCAAUCUUUUGGCAAUAUCUCUUUCGAGAUGGACCUAUUUUGCUGAAAAGGAUUAUUUGUGCCUCGCUAUAUUCUUCCUCCAUUGAUAAAAUGGACACGGUAAAUUUCCACCAGACUGAUGCCUCUGCUUGUGCCUGGACUUUUCCAUUGAAGAUCUUUAUUGACCUAUAGAACAUGAAUACCGUUGCUGUAUAGGAAUCGUUGAAGCAUUUCAUCCAAUAUCUUCUAGGCUUGAAACAUAGUAAAAAUAAUUUAAGAGCGGGUGCAAUGUUAUCCAAAUCCUUGAAGACGUUGCAUUUAAAUUGCAUGAAAGUAUAGUACUAAUGGAGUAGGUACCAGAAAAACCAUAAUAAUUCUUGUCAAAAAUCCUUGGUUUGAGCGAUGAAUAUUUGGCAGAAUGGAUAUUCUAGAUUGACACGAUAAGGCUUGAGAAUAGACCCUCCAUAUUGCUAGAAAACUUGGAGCUCAUAAUAAGUUCUUCUUUCCAUAUAAUUGAUGGGUCAAAGGGAUCCAUGAGGUUGAACAACUCCGCUGGAUGAUCUGCUAGCUUUAGUGAACUUGUUCCUGAUGCAUUUGAAAACAUGAAGAUGUGGCUGAUUAGCUUCUGUUUUGAUUUCAUUUUUGCGGGUGAAAAUAUCUUUGAGAAAUCUUCUGGUCGAGACAGAAAAUAUGCGACAAUAUUAUCCUUUCCUUUCAGGUGCUUGACUUGAAAUUUGUAUGGAGAAAAUCAUUGAGACUAUCUUUCAAUCAGAAUGGCAUGAUUCAUUAGAAGCGAUCGUCGGGGAUGAAAAAUCCCAUUUUGAGUCUAUCUUCAGGGUGGAUUCCCAAUUGCCAAAACCCAGAUUUUGAAUCAAACUUGGAAAAAUAUUUGGCCUUGGCUAAGUGGGAGAAAAAUGUAAGUUUAUUUAGGAUAGAGAACUUAUCAUCUUGGAGGAAAUGAUUAUGUGGCUGGUAAUUGAUGAUUAACCUGAGUUUUCCUCUUGUAUGUUCAGCUCUUUGUGAGUCUGAUGGCUCUACAGAUCAAAUUCCAAGUUUUUUGCAUUCUUUCUUUGCAAGCUGAAGAUGAUCUGGAUUCAUCCCUGAAUGCUAGAUUUCGUUGUAUUGAUAUUUUCAUUCCUCUUGAGAGGGAGCUUGAUAAAAAAAACUCUUUGUUUUUCCAUAACGGGGGUUUCCCUUUCUUCAUGAAAUCCUUAUGGGAUUUAGCACAUGAAUGUUCAAUGAGAUUUUGCUCAAUCCCUUUGAUUUGUUCAUCAUUGAUAAUUUGGAAUAGCCUUGGAAUCUCAGAAUAAGGUCUGAACUUCUUUUUAUAAGCUAUCCCAUUAGCUCUGAUCUGGAGUUGAUCUCCAAGUUGUCUGUAAAUGUCGAACCCAAUAAUAAGAUCCUUUCCUGGUACAUCAGAUCCUACCAGCUUGGUUCUGUACUUCAAUCCUGGAAAGAACUCAAUUGUGACCGGGUGCUUUGUAACAAUAGUUGUGGUCAAGCUUGCAUUUGAUAUAGUGUCAAAAUCCUUAAAAUAUGGCACCCAUUGAUCCUUAGGGAGAGUAGCAGGAUUGAUGAGUGAAGAAGCAGCUCCGGUAUCGAUGAAAGCAAUAACUUGAGUUGGUUUAUCCCAUUUUGAUGAAUAGACCUUGAGUUCUACUUGAGGAGCGAUUGCGAGAGCAUUGAUUUCCUCUUGGGCUUCGAUCACUGGUUCUAAAAUUUAGUACUGCUCAUUCCUUGGUCUUCAUAGAUAUCAAGAGAGAAUAAAGUUUCGUUAUUAGGUUUAUCAUCUACAGAGAAUAUGGAUUCAUUGCUAGAAUGAGAGCUAUAUUGCAUUAAUUCAUCGUCUGAUGAACUCAGAGAUUCCAACCACAGAGUAUCUUCUUCUAGUAUGUAUCUUGGCUGGGAGACAUAGAGGUCUAGAGCCUUCUGGUCAGAAAUCUUCAGAUUUUCAUGGUUGGACCCUUCUAAACUUUCUCCUUGGUCUCGCCUUUUUUUGGUUUGUUUUUGUUCUGCAAGAGAAUCUUUCCUUUCCCAAACCAUUUCUUCAAUAUCAAAAUCAUGUUCUUCUUAUAAGGGUUGGGUGAAAGAUAUUGGAUUUUGUGAGGUAGAUGGAAAAGUAGAAAAGUUGUAGUCUAAUUUAGGUGGCGAAUAUUCUUGUGGAGACAUGGGGAAGUGGUCAUUUCUCGAGAGUUGAAUUUGUUCUUUGAUGGAAAUCGUUUCCUUUUGUUGUUGUUGGAAGAAUUGGAAAAGUAAAGUUCUUGGUGGACAAAUCUCGAAUUGUAAAUUUGCCAAUCUUAGUUUCAAGGCUUUGAUUAGUCCGGUAUGGUGAGACGAUGUCUGCUCCAUCGUUUUCUCACUUGUUUCCACUUUGAUCAUCAUUUUGUUUUGUGUAUGGGCCACAUUUUUAUGGUGUUGCAAAUGUUGUUCAGCACCUUGUUUUGGCAGAUGGAGUUUUCUGAUUGCCAUUUCAUUAUUUCUUCGAUGUCACUUGUUGGGGGUUUUUCUCCAGUGGGUAGCACUAUAUUUUUCUUGGAAUUUUUGGAGCAUGACUUAUACCCUACUUUUCGAAAGGUUGAAUUGAAGGAAAAUCUAGGUAUGACUGGAGCUUGAAGGACUUAGCAUGAAUAUCUGUAGUUGUGGGGGAUUUGUGGUUUUUUUGUGUUGGUAAAGUUUUAGGUUCAGGUGGAUUUUUAGACUUUGGGGUAUGGGCUGAUGGUGAUUUGGGUAUGAUUUCACUAUCCUCCAAGCUUGGAGUGAAUGUUUAUGGUAAUUUUGGCCAUUCCUGGGAAUUGUAACUGACAAGAAAUUCAUAUUCACCUGGACGACUUAAUGAGCCAAUUGAAGGAUCUUUAUUUUCAUAUUUGGCUCGAAACUGUUUUUCAGUUUUCCCUUUUUUCUUGGAUUUUGGUUUGGUUUGAUUGAGGCCGAACCUUUCAUCAUAUUCUCCAAUUGGAUCUUCCAAAAAGUCUUGACAUUCGCAGUCAAGAUCCCAAGGGCAGUGUUCCAUAAAAGGGCAUUUGAACCACCAAGACCUUUUUCCUUUUUUGUCAAAAUUUUGACACCGGUCAUGUUCUUCCAUGAUGCUUUGUAUAUUCCAAAAGGACUCUCCAUCCGGUUCAGGAUAUGUAUCUGUUGUAUCUUUGGGUUGAAUCAUUUGGCAGGAGAAGAUGGUAUUAUUUGUUUUUUUGAGAUGGUAAUGGUCAAAGCUUAUGCAAACGGUUUUGUCAUUUAUUUUUGUAAAAUUUGGUUCACCAGAUUGCAGAUAUUCCUCCGAUUCUCUUAACUUUUCAUAAUUUGUGAUCCAAGAAUCAAGAAGAAUUUUGAUAAGUUCAUCUCUGGAAAUUUGUCUGGUAUUUGGGUGCACAUGGUGUUUUCUUUGGUAACAUCAAUAUUUAAGAGCAAAUUAUUUUUUCCUCUGGGAAGGCAAAGAUCCAUAGAAUGAUUUUGGACUCGCCAUGCCAUUUGGUUGUGAAGGGUUGCUUGGAUGGAAUCUUUGGCUUGUAGGGCUCCCUGACUUGGACUUAAAAUUUUAAGGCUUCGGUUAGGUAUGGGCCAUAGAGGGACAUGUUGAAAUUUGGAAAGAUUGUUAUGAAGACAGUUUCUCCAUUCAGGGCAACUUUUGUAGUACCCAAAUUUGCAUGUUGGUACUCGAAGUAUCUUAUAUGUAGAAGAGAAAGUCGAGCUAAAACAAGUUAACAUUUUCUUCCAUGAUAUGAUAGAGCAAUUCGGAUAGCACCAAAAUGGAUAUGGGUAAAACUAUGAUCUCUCCAUUGUCUGGGAAAAUCAUCUGGGAUUUGAAGUGUGAUAAAUUGUUCCUCUUGAGUGGCAAGAAUAGGAUGCUGGUCAAGCUUUGAGGCAGCAACAUAUUCUUUGACUCCUUUUGGUCUAUGUUGGAUUAAGGAACAGUUUUGGGUCCAGGGUGAAAAGGAUUUUUUGGUGAAAGCUGAGUAGGGGUUUUGUGAGGUAGUUCAGUGGAGGAUACUUUUUGUUCAACGGGUAGGAUAUCUAUUUCAUAGAGGUAAUCAUAUUUUUUAGACAGAGUUUUGUAUAUAGUAGGAGGCAUAUUUAUUUUUGCUAGGGUAGAGAAUGAUGGAAAUGACUUGGAUAUAUUUAGCAAACUGUUCCUCCCUCCGAAAGGUUGGGCUGGCUCUGAUAUCACAGGAUAAAGAACAGAGUAAGAGACUCCAAGAAAACAAACUAUAUCAUUAAUACGGAAGUUUCCCUACAAAAGGGGCUGAUUUCAACAACCCAUAAGAGACGGCUUGCCAAACUACACUACACAUAUAUUUUUGUACUAUAAUCAAUGUUAGUUGUUCAUAACUCAGAAAACUUUUGCGGUACAAUAAGGUAACUUUAGCAGAGUAUUCCUACUCUAUUUUCAUAAAUGGACCGACCUUUACAUCCAUUCAAAAGAAAGAACAAGAGGGAAAUUUAGAAAGCACUCAUAUGUAAUAUAUCAUAAGAGAUGGCCUAAACUCACCUUCCAAACUCACAAAUUUACAGAAGUGAAACAAAAUAGAGAUGAGUUUACUGUAAGUCACUUAGAACUACGAAGUUUAUAUUGAGCAUAAAAAUGUAAAAACUUAGGCAUAGAGACUAUAGGAAAACUCAAAAGAAAGAUUAACAAUUAUGAAUGACUUAAUCAAUUAUCAUUUUAAAGAAUCAUAACAGAACAAGUUAACCAUAAAAAGCCGUCAAACUAUUAAAGCAUAAAUAUAAAACAUGUCUAACAUAUACAAAAUAUAAUAAUCUAUAAAAUUUAACUCGACAGAUCUAGAUCAUUCAGAGAGAUGAACAAAAUAAAAGUGAGAGAAAAAUGUUUACCUUCUUAAGGGCAGCAGACCAAACAUGUUCUUUUGUUACUCAAGAUCCCUGAACCUUCAAGCUUGAACCAGCAAAGAACUUGGCAAAAGAGAGAAACACAGUAAGAGACCUAAGACCAGAAACACUAAUUUUCGUAGUGUUCUCUUUUUGUGUGCUUAGUGUAUGUUUUGCUUGUGUAUGUUCAUUUUUUUAGGUGAGAGCAUUGAACAACCCUUUUUAUAGUGUCAUUUAAGGCCUUAUAGUUUCUAUAUUCAAACUAGGAUAGUGGAGCGUGAUGAUGACUUGAUGAUGUGAGAAAAUCAACAGAAAAUCGAGAGACAGAUGGUGGGUUGUGUUUACCUGAGUGGAGAACAGUCAGCCGCUAAAGGCAAAGGACCGAUAGACAAAUCCCAAAACCUAGAGGCCACUGCGUUUGACCUCUGUGUACAGAAUAUUCAUUAUGAACUGUGAAUCGUGCACAUGCAUGCCCCAAUUUGGAAGAAUGAGUGAGGGAACCAGAUAAAAUAAAAAUUCAUCAUUUAGGUCUAGGGUUUCCACUUGGGGCUUUUGAAUAUUAACAACAAGAAUGGAAAACUGAGCUUACGAAGGGACAAUGGAAUGGUGUUUCGAAUUCAAAAAUCCAUGUCCUAGUAUUUCUGAUUUGGCGAACAAAAAAGGAAAAGUCAGCUGGAUUCAUGGAUAAUGAAGCAGGAGAGGAUGAUGUGAUAGGGUUUCAUGACCUUGUACAAAUACAAGGUUUAUUGACUGAUUUGACA
rnacentral:lncRNA from 1 species